AUACGUAGGGGGCGAGCGUUGUCCGGAAUGAUUGGGCGUAAAGGGCGCGUAGGCGGCCCGGUAAGUCUGGAGUGAAAGUCCUGUUUUUAAGAUGGGAAUUGCUUUGGAUACUGUCGGGCUUGAGUGCAGGAGAGGUAAGUGGAAUUCCCAGUGUAGCGGUGAAAUGCGUAGAGAUUGGGAGGAACACCAGUGGCGAAGGCGACUUACUGGACUGUAACUGACGCUGAGGCGCGAAAGUGUGGGGAGCAAACAGGAUUAGAUACCCUGGUAGUCCACACUGUAAACGAUGAAUGCUAGGUGUAGGGGGUAUCGACCCCUUCUGUGCCGCAGUCAACACAAUAAGCAUUCCGCCUGGGGAGUAUGGCCGCAAGGUUGAAACUUAAAGGAAUUGACGGGG
rnacentral:rRNA from 1 species